rnacentral:rRNA from 1 species
GGUAAACGCUGGCGGCGUGCCUAAAACAUGCAAGUCGAACGGGCAGCCUUCGGGCUGUCAGUGGCAGACGGCUGAGUAACGCGUGGGUGACGUACCUAUCGAUGGGGAAUAACUGCCCGAAAGGGUGGCUAAUACCGCAUACGCCCGUUGAUUCGUGUUGACGGGGAAAGUCUCGCGAGAGGCAUCGAUGGAGCGGCCCGCGUCCGAUUAGCUGGUUGGUGGGGUAACGCCUACCAAGGCGACGAUCGGUAGCUGGUCUCAGAGGAUGAUCAGCCAGACUGGGACUGAGACACGGCCCAGACUCCUACGGGAGGCAGCAGUUAGGAAUUUUGGGCAAUGGGCGCAAGCCUGACCCAGCAACGCCGCGUGGGUGACGAAGG